GGUCGCUGAGUUGUCCUGAAGCUCGGGUGAGGACUGAAUGCUGGGCUCCUGUGUCUACCAGUUAGCAGUGGAAUUUUAAAGUAGAGACAUCAUUAAGGAGUCAGAAGAUCAACAUGGGAGACCUUGAAAAGGGGGCUGCAACCCAUGGGGCCGGAUGCUUUGCCAAGAUCAAGGUGUUUCUGAUGGCAUUAACAUGUGCAUAUGUAUCCAAAUCGCUAUCAGGAACUUUCAUGAGUUCCAUGCUCACACAAAUAGAGAGACAAUUCGGUAUCCCCACAGCUAUAGUUGGAUUCAUCAAUGGGAGCUUUGAGAUAGGUGUUUAUAACUUACCUGCAAUAUGCAUUGGAUAUUUAAUUGCUGGCUUCAUGAUGAAGAAAUUCAAGAUCACUGUCAAGACAGCUGCAUUCCUCGCAUUCUGCCUAUCCUUGUCUGAAUAUAGUUUUGGUUUCUGUAACUUCCUAAUUACCUGUGAUAAUGUCCCAGUUGCUGGUUUGACUAACUCUUAUGAAAGAGAUCAGAAACCUCUAUACUUGGAAAAUAAUGUUCUUGCUGACUGCAACACAAGGUGCAGCUGCUUGACGAAAACAUGGGAUCCAGUGUGUGGAGACAAUGGCCUAGCAUACAUGUCAGCCUGCCUCGCAGGCUGCGAGAAGUCUGUUGGAACUGGAAC
rnacentral:lncRNA from 1 species